ACAGUAUUAGUUUUUUUUUUUUUUUUGAAAUAUUGAUUGAAUGAGAAUAUACAAAACAACAAUUACAAGUAGACUUUUUGUCAUAUAAAUAAAAAUAAAAACUUAACAUCAUAGAUAAAAUAGAGUGAAAAUGAAGAGAAAAAAAAGCAUCCAUUCUAAAAUCCAUCAAGCCCUAAGAGCAGAAUUCCAGCACAUUCGAGCCAAAUACAAGCUGCAUCAGAAAAGAAGAAUAUCUCCCUAUACCCUACUCUCUUGGCAACCUCAAGUCCAUCAAGAAGAUAGCAGAAAAAGUGGGAAAAACCAGUCUAUUAUAGGACCCCAAUCAUAUUUAACAAACUAAAGAAUGAAAAAGAUAAAAGAUACAAUCAAGAAAGGCAAGGUGUCUACAAGAUACCAGGUAAGUAUACCAAUACCCAACAACAGAAUUUACAUAGGAGUAAAUACUAGAACCCUACAGCAAAGAUUAAAAGAGCAUAAAAAAAGAUAUAGGUAAUGGUAAUGGAAAGCUAUUCACCACCCUAGCAACAGAAGCAUAUAGCAAUGACCUACAAAUAGCCUGGCAAGAUGCUAGAUUAAUAAAACCCAUAGAUACACAAUCAUAAGCUCUUCUGACAGAGUCUAUAGAGAUACUGAAAACACAGCAUAAAGAACAGCUAUUGGAUGAAAAGCCUGCUGUCGAAUUGCUGUCAGCAUGAAUGUAUCUACUAGAGAUCUGGAAAAAAGCACACAAUAAAACAAACAAGCAAUGCCUCCUCACCACAAUGCAAUCCUAAGGACUUUAAAAUAAUUUUUUUUUGUCUUCAUUUUUGCUCUAUUUUAUCUAUGCUGUUGGGUUUUCGUUUUUAUUUAUGUUUAUAUAUGCUUGUAAAUUUUGUAAAUAUGUUUUGGUUGCCAUAACACUGUAAUGUAAGCAACAAUUUAUAUUUUUGGAAUUUCUUAUUCA
rnacentral:lncRNA from 1 species